UACGUAGGGAGCGAGCGUUAUCCGGAUUUAUUGGGUGUAAAGGGUGCGUAGACGGGAAAACAAGUUAGUUGUGAAAUCCCUUGGCUUAACCAAGGAACUGCAACUAAAACUGUUUUUCUUGAGUACUGGAGAGGAAAGUGGAAUUCCUAGUGUAGCGGUGAAAUGCGUAGAUAUUAGGAGGAACACCAGUGGCGAAGGCGACUUUCUGGACAGUAACUGACGUUGAGGCACGAAAGUGUGGGGAGCAAAC
rnacentral:rRNA from 1 species